UACGUAGGGGGCAAGCGUUGUCCGGAAUCAUUGGGCGUAAAGCGCGUGUAGGCGGCCCGAUAAGUCCGCUGUGAAAGUCCAGGGCUCAACCCUGGAAUGCCGGUGGAUACUGUCGGGCUCGAGUCCGGAAGAGGCGAGUGGAAUUCCUGGUGUAGCGGGGAAAUGCGCAGAUAUCAGGAGGAACACCAAUGGCGAAGGCAGCUCGCUGGGACGGUACUGACGCUGAGACGCGAAAGCGUGGGGAGCAAACAGG
rnacentral:rRNA from 1 species